UACGGAGGGGGCUAGCGUUGUUCGGAAUUACUGGGCGUAAAGCGCACGUAGGCGGCUUUGUAAGUUAGAGGUGAAAGCCCAGGGCUCAACCCUGGAAUUGCCUUUAAGACUGCAUCGCUUGAACAUCGGAGAGGUAAGUGGAAUUCCGAGUGUAGAGGUGAAAUUCGUAGAUAUUCGGAAGAACACCAGUGGCGAAGGCGACUUACUGGACGAUUGUUGACGCUGAGACGCGAAAGCGUGGGGAGCAAACAGG
rnacentral:rRNA from 1 species